rfam:Cavia porcellus supercont2_29 genomic scaffold, whole genome shotgun sequence.
GGCGAUUUAACUCAGUGGCUCAAGCACUUGCCUGGUAAGCAUGAGGUCAUGAGUUCAAUCCCCAUCAUCCCUA